GAUGAAGAACGUAGUGAAAUGCGAUAAGUAAUGUGAAUUGCAGAAUUCAGUGAAUCAUCGAAUCUUUGAACGCACCUUGCACCCUUUGGCAUUCCGAAGGGUAUGCUCGUUUGAGUGUCAUUGUACUCUCACACUUCCGAUCUUUGGAUUGGGAGCGGUGGACUUGUGUGUUGCUGCUUACUGUGGCUCACCUCAAAUCGAUUCGUGCACCUCUUGGUUGGACAUAGUACGGCGUGAUAAGUGUCUUCGCCGGCACCUCAGUAGAGGGUGGCUGAUCGGGAGCUCUGCUUCAAACCGUCCUCGGACAACAACUGACAACUUGACCUCAAAUCGAGUAGGACUACCCGCUGAACUUAAGCAUAUCAAUAAGCGGAGGA
rnacentral:misc_RNA from 1 species